rnacentral:rRNA from 1 species
CCUACGGGUGGCAGCAGUGGGGAAUAUUGCACAAUGGGGGAAACCCUGAUGCAGCGACGCCGCGUGGGGGAAUGAAGGUCUUCGGAUUGUAAACCCCUGUCAUGUGGGAGCAAAUUAAAAAGAUAGUACCACAAGAGGAAGAGACGGCUAACUCUGUGCCAGCAGCCGCGGUAAUACAGAGGUCUCAAGCGUUGUUCGGAAUCACUGGGCGUAAAGCGUGCGUAGGCUGUUUCGUAAGUCGUGUGUGAAAGGCGCGGGCUCAACCCGCGGACGGCACAUGAUACUGCGAGACUAGAGUAAUGGAGGGGGAACCGGAAUUCUCGGUGUAGCAGUGAAAUGCGUAGAUAUCGAGAGGAACACUCGUGGCGAAGGCGGGUUCCUGGACAUUAACUGACGCUGAGGCUCGAAAGUGUGGGGAGCAAACAGGAUUAGAUACCCUAGUAGUC